rnacentral:rRNA from 1 species
CAAGGAAUUUUCGGCAAUGGGGGCAACCCUGACCGAGCAACGCCGCGUGGAGGAUGACGGCCUUCGGGUUGUAAACUCCUUUUACGGGGACGACAUCGACUGUACCCCGCGAAUCAGGCUCGGCUAACUCUGUGCCAGCAGCCGCGGUAAGACAGAGGAGCCAAGCGUUGUCCGGAUUGACUGGGCGUAAAGCGCACGCAGGCGGCUGUGCACGUGGGGUGUGAAAGCUGGCGGCUUAACUGCCAGAUGCCACCUCAUACGGCACGGCUCGAGCCCGUGAGAGGUCCACGGAAUUGCCGGUGUAGUGGUGAAAUGCGUAGAGAUCGGCAGGAACACCCAGGGGGAAACCAGUGGACUGGCACGGUGCUGACGCUCAGGUGCGAAAGCGUGGGGAGCGAACCGGAUUAGAUACCCGGGUAGUCCACGCCGUAAACGAUGAAUACUCGGCAUCUGGUGGGCGAUCUUCGUCCGCCGGGUGCCCCAGCUAACGCGGUAAGUAUUCCGCCUGGGAACUACGA